CUCUCGAUCUACUAGUUUAGUCUUUUGAGCAGUGCAUGGUGGUGUAUUUCGAGUGGUUUUCAAAUGAAGGAGGAAUAUUUGUCGCAUGAUACCUGACCCAGUGAAGUGAGGGAUAAUGGGACACCACUCCUCUGACAGCUAGGAGGACAGCCAUAGCAGGAGGAAGAAGAAGGAAAAUCACGGAAGGCGCUCCUAUUCCUCCAGCUCCUCCGGCAGCCAGGUGACCAGCCACAGAAAGAGGUCCAGCAGCUGAUCCAGAGACAGAGACAGGAGACGCAGGCGGCGGUCCAACAGCAGCUCGUCCCGAAGGAGGAGGGAGCGGAGAUGGAGGCCGAGGCAGGACCAACCGCUCCCAUAGGACAUGCAGCCGCACCCGCAGGUCUUGUGAGCGUGUUGUCUCUCCAGGUCUUGUGAGCGGCUGCGUUCUCGCAGCAGGAGCAGCGGCCGGUCCAGCCGCAAGAAGAGCCGCAGCCGCAGCCGAGACCGCAGCCGGCUGAAGGGCCUCGACAAAGACAAGGAGAAGAACAGGGACCGAGACAAUGGCAGGGACCGAGACAAGGGCAGGGACUGAGACGAGGGCCGGGACCGAGACAAGGACAGAGCCAAAGCCAAGAGGUCGGACAAACAAGGGGACAGCGCCAUCAAAGCAGCAUGAGAACAUCUGACACCUGCAGAACAGGCCAAGGCUCAACUCCAGCUGGUGUUGCAGCCAUAACAGAUGAGGUACUGAAAGCCAAGAAGAGGAAGGACGAGGAGGCCAAGAAGAUGAAGAGGGGACGUCGCUGGCUGAUCAAGUGCGAAGGAUAAAGGACAUUGAGGCCAUUGAGAGUGAAUCCUUUGUUCCUCAGGCUUUCAAAUCAUCCCGAGACAGUGUGAAGACAUCAGCAGACAUUACAGACAUCAGCUCUCUACCUACUACAAUCCGCUACAACGACAGCGACACGCUAGCACACCCCAGGUUGUUCCUGGACAAGGAGAAGGCCGAGGAGCUUUGGCUCAACAGGCUGAUGUCUCUCCGCCAGGAGAGGCUCAUGGGUAGUCCUGUGCCCUGAUUGGACGAGCUCUAAUUAGUCUAUCCUUGUCAGGCCACACCGUCAGGAACAAUCCCCUGUCCCUAAACAUGAAUCUUUAUACAUUUUUAUUUAAUCCCUCAUUCACUGGACUUCCCUCAUACUUUUUGUCAAGAAACUACAAUGUUUCAAGAAGAUUUGUAUUUUGUCAUUUAAAAAAAU